GUACUUACCUGCAGGCGAGAUGCCGUGAUCAUGAAGGUGGUUUUCCCAGGGCGAGGCUUAUCCGUUGCACCCAGAUGUGCGGUUUCCCCAGAUGUGGGAAACGCGACUGCAUGAUUUGGGGUAGUGGGUACUUA
rnacentral:snRNA from 10 species